rnacentral:rRNA from 1 species
CCUACGGGAGGCAGCAGUAGGGAAUAUUGCUCAAUGGGGGAAACCCUGAAGCAGCAACGCCGCGUGGAGGAUGAAGGUUUUCGGAUUGUAAACUCCUUUUGUCAGAGAAGAUAAUGACGGUAUCAAAUGAAUAAGCACCGGCUAACUACGUGCCAGCAGCCGCGGUAAUACGGAGGGUGCAAGCGUUACUCGGAAGCACUGGGCGUAAGGAGCGCGUAGGCGGGAGAGCAAGUCAGAUGUGAAAUCCUAUGGCUUAACCAUAGAACUGCAUUUGAAACUGUUAUUCUAGAGUAUGGGAGAGGUAGGUGGAAUUCUUGGUGUAGGGGUAAAAUCCGUAGAGAUCAAGAGGAAUACUCAUUGCGAAGGCGACCUGCUAGAACGUAACUGACGCUGAUGCGCGAAAGCGUGGGGAGCAAACAGGAUUAGAUACCCCAGUAGUC